AACAACUAGAAUUAAUUAACGUAAAACCCAUAAGAUAAUGUGUAUUAAAACACCUUUUCUUGAGCGUUAAGAAUACAUAUUCAACCACCUCAUCAAGUCGUGUGUGAAACAGUUUUCAAUUUCGUCUGGUGAUAGAAAUGGCAAUCCGAAACCACCAACCUAGGAAACGAACGAAAGACUUCUGUACGUUUAUUCAGAGAUUCAGAGAUUCAGACCCUUAGCCAAAGGGGCGGAUGGAGAGGUAUGGUUCCCCUUCACCCAAUAUUCGAGUCAAAUACGUGAACUGUAAAUAUAUCGAAUAGGAGGUUCGGCGGCAGCAAUACCACAAAUUGAAAGUUCCGUUAGACCCUUUGGGAACGAAACCAUAAAAGAUGUGUCCAACAACAGAUUUUGAUUGCUUUGUAUGUGCCAGAUAAUUUUAAGCAUUUCAGAAUCAACACUUUUCUCCUUUCCAUUGUUAGUGCAGAGGGAACAGCAACAUAUCAAAAUUUUCACACAAAAAUCG